rnacentral:rRNA from 1 species
UACGUAGGUGACCAGCGUUGUCCGGAUUUACUGGGCGUAAAGGGCGCGUAGGCGGCCCUGUCAGUCGGGUGUGAAAGCCCGGGGCUCAACCCCGGAACUGCACCCGAUACUGCCUGGCUGGAGUCCCGGAGAGGAUGGCGGAAUUUCCGGUGUAGAGGUGAAAUUCGUAGAUAUCGGAAGGAACACCAGUGGCGAAGGCGGCCAUCUGGACGGUGACUGACGCUGAGACGCGAAAGCGUGGGGAGCAAACAGG